UUAUUACUCCCUCCGUCCCAAAAUUCAUGUCUUAACUUUGUUUAAAAUUGAAUGUAUCUAAAUACUAAAACAUGACUAGAUACAUUUAUAUUUAAACAAAUUUAAGACAAGAAUUUUGGGACGUAGGGGAUAUUUA
rfam:Hordeum vulgare subsp. vulgare, WGS project CAJW01000000 data, contig: morex_contig_93654